GCAUUAUACUGCGAAACUGCGAAUGGCUCAUUAUAUAAGUUAUCGUUUACUUGAUAGCACUUCACUACAUGGAUAACUGUGGUAAUUCUAGAGCUAAUACAUGCUAAAAAUCCCAACUUCGGAAGGGAUGUAUUUAUUAGAUGAAAAACCAAUGCCCUUUGGGCUCUCUGGUGAUUCAUGAUAACUUCUCGAAUCGCAUGGCCUUGCGCCGGCGAUGGUUCAUUCAAAUUUCUUCCCUAUCAACUUUCGAUGGAAGGUCUUGUCUUCGCAUGGUUACAACGGGUAACGGAGGGUUAGGGCUCGACCCCGGAGAAGGAGCCUGAGAAACGGUGCGUCCCCUACCGCUCCAUCUUCUGAAUUCACGUGCUAACAAUCGUUCUAGGCUACUACAUCCAAGGAAGGCAGCAGGCGCGCAAAUUACCCAAUCCCGACGCGGGGAGGUAGUGACAAGUAAGUUGCAGGCACUUCAGUUCACAUUCAGGCUGGACAUCCGCUAACGUUUUCGCAGUAAAUACUGAUACAGGGCUCUUUUGGGUCUUGUAAUUGGAAUGAGUACAAUUUAAAUCCCUUAACGAGGAACAAUUGGAGGGCAAGUCUGGUGGACUCCAGUCCCUGUGCUGGCGCCAGCAAGAGUGGGGGCUAGCACGCCGCCCGCGGAUCCAGGCCACUGGACCCGCGUGGCGGCCGGGCGUGCUGGGCUUCUGACCCGCUAGUCGAGCACCCGUUCCAGGGCGGGAGGGUGCCGGCGAGACAACCUGGAUCGGGGGAGGCUAAGGGGCGCGGGCCCUACGUCGAUCCCGAGCAGAGCAGGGGGGGAGCGAUCCCUCCCGUGCCUGUGUAGAGCGCGCCAAGGUGUCGGCCGCCCUGCGGACACGCAGGCGGCUUAAGGGACGUGCCAACCCCCUCGAAAGAGGGUCCCCUGUCCGGAGCGCCCGCCACGCGAAGGACCAGGGGCCUGCCACGGCAGGGAGAAGAUGCAGUGGCCAGCAGCCGCGGUAAUUCCAGCUCCAAUAGCGUAUAUUAAAGUUGUUGUGGUUAAAAAGCUCGUAGUUGAACCUUGGGCCUGGCUGGCCGGUCCCCCUCACCGGGUGCACUGAUCCAGCCGGGCCUUUCCCUCUGUGGAACCCCAUGGCCUUCACUGGUCGUGGCGGGGAAACAGGACUUUUACUUUGAAAAAAUUAGAGUGCUCCAGGCAGGCCUAUGCUCGAAUACAUUAGCAUGGAAUAAUGAAAUAGGACGCGUGGUUCUAUUUUGUUGGUUUCUAGGACCGCCGUAAUGAUUAAUAGGGACAGUCGGGGGCAUCAGUAUUCAAUUGUCAGAGGUGAAAUUCUUGGAUCUAUUGAAGACUAACUACUGCGAAAGCAUUUGCCAAGGAUGUUUUCAUUGAUAAGGAACGAAAGUUAGGGGAUCGAAGACGAUCAGAUACCGUCGUAGUCUUAACCAUAAACUAUGCCGACUAGGGAUCGGACGAUGUUGCUAAUUGACUCGUUCGGCACCUUUCGAGAAAUCAAAGUGC
rnacentral:rRNA from 1 species